AGUAGUUUGAUCAUGGCUCAGGACGACGCUGGCGGCGUGCCUAACACAUGCAAGUCGAACGGAACUGCUUCGAAGGAUUUCUUCGGAAUGACAUUGAUUCAGUUUAGUGGCGGACGGGUGAGUAACGCGUGAGUAACCUGCCUUCAAGAGGGGGAUAACAUUCUGAAAAGAAUGCUAAUACCGCAUGACAUAUGAUUGUCACAUGGCAGACAUAUCAAAGAUUUAUCGCUUGAAGAUGGACUCGCGUCCGAUUAGUUAGUUGGUGAGGUAACGGCCCACCAAGACCGCGAUCGGUAGCCGGACUGAGAGGUUGAACGGCCACAUUGGGACUGAGACACGGCCCAGACUCC
rnacentral:rRNA from 1 species